rnacentral:rRNA from 1 species
AGGUCAAGCUACAAAGGGCGCAUGGUGAAUGCCUUGGCAUCAGGAGCCGAUGAAGGACGUGAUAAGCUGCGAUAAGCUUCGGGUAGGCGCACAUAGCCAGUGAUCCGGAGAUUUCCGAAUGUGGAAACACACAUGGGAAACCCCAUGUACCGUAUAGUGAAUACAUAGCUAUACGGAGGUAGACCUAGGGAACUGAAACAUCUAAGUACCUAGAGGAAGAGAAAGAAAAAUCGAUUUUCUGAGUAGCGGCGAGCGAAAGGGAAAGAGCCCAAACCAGAGAUUUAUCUCUGGGGUUGCGGACAGAACAUUAACGAGAAGUUUUCAUUAACCGAACAUUACUGGAAAGUAAGACCGUAGGAGGUAAUAGUCCUGUAGGUGAAAGUGAAAAUAAUCAAGUUCUGAUCCAGAGUACCACGAGACACGUGAAACCUUGUGGGAAGCAGGGAGGACCACCUCCCAAGGCUAAAUACUACCUGAUGACCGAUAGUGAAGCAGUACCGUGAGGGAAAGGUGAAAAGAACCCCGGGAGGGGAGUGAAAUAGAACCUGAAACCGUGUGCCUACAACCGGUCAGAGCCCCAUACGAGGGUGAUGACGUGCUUUUUGUAGAACGAGCCAACGAGUUACGGUAUGUAGCAAGGUUAAGUACUUAAGGUACGGAGCCGAAGGGAAACCGAGUCUUAAUAGGGCGACUAGUUGCAUGCCGUAGACCCGAAACCGGGUGACCUAUCCAUGGCCAGGUUGAAGCGAGGGUAAAACUUCGUGGAGGACCGAACCACGUUGCUGUUGAAAAAGCAUGGGAUGAGCUGUGGAUAGCGGAGAAAUUCCAAUCGAACUCGGAGAUAGCUGGUUCUCCCCGAAAUAGCUUUAGGGCUAGCGUCGGAUAUGUGUAGUGGAGGUAGAGCACUGAAUGGGCUAGGGGGCGUAUCGCUUACCGAACCUUAUCAAACUCCGAAUGCCAUAUACAUUUAGUCCGGCAGUCAGACUACGAAUGAUAAGAUCCGUGGUCAAAAGGGAAACAGCCCAGAUCGUCAGCUAAGGUCCCAAAGUGUAAGUUAAGUGGAAAAGGAUGUGGGAUUUCUAAGACAACUAGGAUGUUGGCUUAGAAGCAGCCACUCAUUUAAAGAGUGCGUAAUAGCUCACUAGUCGAGAGAUCCUGCGCCGAAAAUGUACCGGGGCUAAACUUACCACCGAAGCUACGGGCUUGCAUUAGCAAGCGGUAGGGGAGCGUCGUAAUCGGGCUGAAGUCGUACCGUAAGGAGCGGUGGACUGAUUACGAGUGAGAAUGUUGGCAUUAGUAGCGAGAUGUAGGUGAGAAUCCUACAGGCCGAAUAUCUAAGGUUUCCUCAGGAAGGCUCGUCCGCUGAGGGUUAGUCGGGACCUAAGCCGAGGCCGAAAGGCGUAGGCGAUGGACAAUCGGUUGAUAUUCCGAUACCACUACCAUCGUUAUUAUCGAGGGUGUGACGGAGAAGGAUAGUGUGUGCUAGCGAUUGGAAAUGCUAGUCUAAGCGUUUAGGCAGUUACGGUAGGCAAAUCCGCUGUAAUAU